UAUUUAUAGAAGAGUUUUUGUACCUCAAAAAAAACUAGACUAACUUUGCAUUUUGAACUGAAAAAAAUGAGCUACUGAACUAUGCUAUUUAAAACAAAGUUGAACAUAUAAAUCAAAGUAUAAUUAUUUAAAGACUUAAUAGCUGUUUUGCCAUUGACUGUAACAUUCAUAAUUUCUGCAGGAUUAUUCAGUUCUUGUAAGUUCUUACUAUAAUGUAUACUUUCUGAAAAGGUCAUGUGUAUCCUGGAAUCCACGGAGUUAAAUUAUGUCAAUACUUUACCAAAAUGUGCUGAGACAUCAAGGAGGCUGUAAAGUAUAAUCAAUACAAUAGACUAAACAUCCAAAUCAAUGGGCUACAGUUAGAAUCUCAUUUGUGACAGCCCUGUCUUCAUCCAAAGUCAUAUAAACCUCAAACUAAAAAGUAAUGUUCCCAAAAUUGAAAAUGAAAAAGGGUUGUUUCUGAACUGAAAAAGUACUCCUGAUAUACAAAUAAAUAUAGCAAUAAGAUCUGGGUCAAAGAAUAGGUACACAUAUCUAAAUUAAUGUGUUCAAUAAAAUCAUUGACUCUUUAAUCAAAGAAAAUGAUGCAAAUAUCUUUCAAGACUUGUUCACCAAAAGCUCUAACUGGAGAUAUUUUAUUGAGCACUAUUUGACAUACACUUCUAUGUGCCAUAUUUUAUAGCUUUACUUCAUUAGUGACAGACAGAAGGAAAAGGCGAGAAAACAGAAGACACUAUAGUUAAAAACAGCUGCCUUCUCCUUGUGUUUGAUUUAUUCCUUGACAAGUUUACUGAAUCAGCUAUUUCAACAGUUUUUUCCUUAGCUGUUGUUGGCAUCUUCAUAUUUAAUGUCUUCUUUUCCCUGUAUUUUUGUCACACACACACACACACACACAUACACACACACACACACAAUCUCCAUCUUAUGCUUCAAUCAAUCUAGAUUACUUCUACUUCUAAUUCAAUUUAACAAAAAUUUAUUAUGAAUUAAUCUGCUAGAUGUAAACUGUAGGUCUUGUCUUCAAUGAUUUUAUAGACUUGUAACUCAAAAGCAUUACGCUAGAAAUAUGGGGUCCAGAUGACAGUAUUUUAUCUACCCUGGUUUUUUUUUUUUUUUUUUUUUUUUUUUUUUUUUUUUGAGGAAAUGACUCACGAAUGAAAAUUUGUAAGAGAGUUUCUUGUGGACAACAAAGAAAAAGAAAAUGAAGCAAAUGAAGAUCCCGUGGGAGCCUAAGCCAGCAAUCCAGGAUGGAUACAAUGAGGGUCUGAAACUGAGCUUGGAUUGUUUGUUUAAAAUGUUAAGGGUAACAGGCUUUUUCAGGAGUUCACCCUGUAUUCAAGGAGUGAUACAUGUACAUAAAUACAACAUGAGACAAAAUAGUAAGAGGUAGAGCAGAAGAAGAACAUGGCAAAGCAAGUAAUUCUGCUUUUUGAAGAGAAAUGGGAUGUGAAACUAUUACUAGUAGUUUCACAGAGACAGUUAUAUUUGAGCUAGGUCUUGGAGAAUCAUAUUUUACCUAUUUAGAAAAAAAAAAAGAGGAAGAGGAGGAAAAUGUAUUCACGGCUCUGCAUACUUGUAAAGUUUCCACUCUAGGUGCCAUCUCAGUCUAUAUGCUCUCUGUGAGCAAUCACAGAAACUCAGUCUUAGCCCCUACAAGCCUUACAACCAUACUUCCUGCAUUAAUUAGCAUUAAACUAUGAGUAGUAGAAAGAGUAAUAGAAAAAGCAAAAUAUUUUGGACUUUAAAUAAAAUGUGUUUCUCUCUUACGCAUAUAUAAACUAGUAAGGUGGCUGUGCUCAAAAAAAGUCUUCCAAUAUCUGGACUCAGAGAUCCCUAUAUUGUGUUUGUGUAUGUGUGUCAGGAAAGAGCAAGGAAUAGAAGGGCAAAUAAAACAGACCAUCAAUAACUUAAGUGAGCUUUCAGCCCCAUACUCCUACUCACAUGGCCACAUGGCUUCAAGGUAAUCUUUAUUCUGAGACACUACAGGCUCAGCUAAAAUAUCUACUACUACCAAAAAGGGGAAGAAUUGUUUCUGGAAAACAACUACAAUCUUUGCCGUAAUCCCCAAGAUCGUUUUCUGGGCCACCAGUCUAGAAUUUUCAAGGCAUUCAAUCUCUCUGACCUUAUCUUCCCUAGAUUCCUUCUCUGCAGCCACACUUGACCCCUUGCAGUCUCUCAAAUAUGUCCCUUCCGUGCAGGGCCUUCAUUGCUUUCUUUUACCUGCCCACAUAUCCUUAUGGUUUUCUCCCUCAGUUUCUUCACAUAUCUGCUCAGAGAGGUUUUUUGUAACCAAGAUUGUAAAAUAGCCCCAAAUACCCUCCCCAUUUUAUUUUUCUUUGUAUAUUUUUUGUACCACCUCAUAUAGAGUAUACAUUCAUUUAAUUGCAGCCAACUUUUACAAUAUAGCGUCCACAAAAGCAGGAAAGUUGUCUAGUACAGUAGCUAGGCCAUAGUUAGGUGUUCAAUACAUAUUUUUUGAACUAAUGCAUAAAUAUCUAAUGGUCUUCAUUGCAAAAACACUUCAGUAUCUCAAACACAUGUCCUCAAACUGAAUUAGUGUCUUCAUAGAUUUCCCUCUUACUUGCUAAUAUAAUGAUUAUUCUCUACUUGCAGUCUCUGUUAAUAAAUCUUCCCCUCCACUCUUUGAAAUCAAAAUGGAAACAUGUUGACUACUUAAUCUCCAUUAUAACUUACAGCUUUUUAUUUCUCACAUCCUGUCUAUUCUACCUCCACAAUGCCUGUCGGAUAUUGUUUUGCUUUCACCCAUUUCCAUUAUUAUUACAUUAGUUAAGACUCUAAUCAUCUCCUACUUCAGAAAGUCUUUCUGUGUCCAAAAAAAAAAAAAAAAAAAUCUAAGCUAACUAAAUUUAAAACCUUCCAGCUGAUUCUUUCUGCACUACUUUCUCAUGCCUCCAGUCCAUCUUUCUGCUGUUGGUAUUUUCUUCCUAAAGUAAAAUUCACAUCAUAUUACAUUUCUUCAUAAUUUGUGCUGGACCUUAAAAGGAACCAAAAUUCCUUAAACCUUUGAGAUUUAAUGAAUACCUUAAUAUAUGUUUCUGUGAAAUUAAUGACCAAGAAUAAUAACAAAACAUAUCAUUUAGCUAAUAAAACAUAUAUUUAAUAUAUAUUUAACUAAUAAAACAUAUAUGUGAAAUAUUUAUUUCUGGUCUAGCAUCUGUGAGACUAAAAAAAAGGCCAUUUCUCCCCCCACCCCGAUAAGUUUCGUUUCAUCUAUCUAGAUUUCACUCUUCAAGACCUUAUUUAAAUAUCUAUCAUCUUAUGAAAGCUGAAGCAUUUCAUUGACUCCAAGCUCACCUUUCUAUCUUAAAGGAGUUCACAUAACUACACUGUCUAAAUCAGUCUUCCUGGCAUAUUCAAAAUCCUGGCUCAGUUAUAACCUCCUCCAUCCUAUUAGUGAUUUGCAUUCUUAACUACAGGUAAGAGAAAACCAGUGCAACCUAGCUUUCAAUGACAGGAAUUUGCUGGCUCAUAUAAAUGAGACAUCGAAUAAAGAAGAAAAGUUGGAAAAAAUGUGUUAGAUGUAGCAUCUCUCUCUCUCUGUCUCUCUCUCUCUUUUUUCACCUAGGCUUGUGCCAUAAACCUUCUACAUCAGUUACUGUGGUUAUGGCUGUCUUGUUGGCUGAACUCAAGUUAUAGGGUCUAUCCUUGGAGACAAACGAUGGAAGACAUCUUAUCCAAAACACAGGGAUCUGGGAUUGGAGAAGAGAUGGGUCUCUUACUAGGAGGCUGGCUUAAUGCGUAAAAAUUACAGAUGUCUACUAUAAUCAUUAAACAUGAAUGGAUGCAUAAUGUACUCAGGUUUUUUCUUGUACAGUUGUAUGGCCCCCGAUUUUUUCUGACAUUUGAAGGUUUGUGUCCAAACUAUUCUUAGUUUUAUUUCCAGUUCAUAUUGAAUAGCGUUUAAUAAGAGCUCUAUUAACGUCUACAUAAUUUAAAUCUAUUUUUAGUAGAUCUUUUUUUCAUAUUAUUUUUAUGCAAUCAUUUGUUUAUCAGAACAAAUCUGGAAGAAAAAUGGCAUUGGUAUGCUCAUUUGCAGACUCACGGAACAGAAGUAUCUUACUCACACAUCAAUUUUGUAGUACAGCAGAGUCAACCCUAAAACUCAGGAUUUCUAAAUACCCUUUCAAUUUCAAAUUUUGAACUAUAUGGUGCCACACUACCAUUAAUCAUGAUGAAUGCUAUUUCCCCCCUUAAAAACAGCUUGGAUUGUGGGGUGAGAUGCAACUGAGUUUAAGUCCCAGCUUUGAAAUUUUAUAAUUGUGUAAACCUAAACUUGCAAGGAUAAUAUUGGCUCUCACCUUAAUAUUUGUUUGCCGAAAUAAAAGAGAUAAUGCAAGUCACACUUGGCACUGUUGCUGCCACUUAGAAGGUGUUCCUUUAAGGCUUUCUACUUGCACUAAAAUUACCACCACUACCUCUGCCACACCACUGCUAGUACUCCUAUGACGACUACUCUUGUUAAUGAUUACUGCUGGACAUGAAAUUAUGCACCAAUACUCAGCAUCAUGCAAUAUUCUUUAAAAAAAUCAAAAUUAUGUUUGCCUUUGUUUCACUACAGCAAAGCAAGAUUGCUUAGCCCUUUGUCCAUAUCCUUUUCUCUACUGAAACCCCUUUCCCCUUUAUCAACCAAAUUAUGAGGUCUGAGAUACUAAUCACUUGAGAUAUUGUUAUCUUCUAUUAAUAAGAAGUAAUACCUCACAAGCUACUUUGAAUUUACCUAAAAAAAGAAAAUUAAACUACUCUAAAACAACAUUAUGUUCAUAUAAUUUUAAUAGGUAGCAGCUUUUGCCAUCAUAAGUUUAUCAGUCACAUUUUCCACAUGAGAUUGAGGGAAGAGAGAGUCCCUCUCACUCAUAUAGUUUUAUAUUGUUUUAUACUCAGUACCUGUUUUAAGAAAAAACAACAAGGAAGUAAAACCAAAGACAGGCAGCCUGACGCCAGGCCUGAAACCAGGCCUGGGCCUGCCUGGCCUAAACCCAGUAGUUAAAAAUCAACUCAUAACAUAGAAACUGAUAUUAUUCAUAGAUUCCAGACAUUGUAUAGAAGAACACUGUGAAACUCCCUGCCCUGUUCUCUUUCUCUCUGACCACCAGUGCAUGCAGGCCCUGUCACGUACUGCCUGCUUGCUCAAAUCAAUCAUGACCCUUUCAUGUGAAAUCUUUAGUGUUGUGAGCCCUUAAAAGGGACAGAAAUUGUGCAUUUGGGGAGCUCGCAUUUUAAGGCAGUAGCUUGCCGAUGCUCUCGGCUGAAUAAAGCCCUUCCUUCUACAACUCGGUGUCUGAGAGGUUUUGUCUGUGGCUCGUCCUGCUACAUUUCUUGGUUUCCUGACGGGGAACCAAGGUGACUGAUGAAUGGCCAAGGCAACCCCUUAGGUGGCUUAGGCCUGCCCUGUGGAGCAUCCCUGCGGGGGACUCUGGCCAGCCUGAGUGACGCGAUCCAAACAGUGCUCCCGGGUAGGAAACUGCCCAGUGGAAUGCCUCGCCAGAGCAGCGCAUAGCAGGACCCCGCGGAGGAUUAACACAGUGGCUGAACACCUGGAAGGAACUGGCACUUGGAGUCCAGACAUCUGAAACUUGGGAGGAGACUUAGCCUUCCUUGGAGACCUGAAGGGAUGCAGCGAGCUUAAGAAUUUUCAAGAGCUUAUCAAUCAGCCAGCUCUUGUUCAUCCCCAAGUGGAUGUGUGGUGGUAUUGUGGUGGACCUUUACUGGGCACUCUGCCAAAUAACUAGAGCAGCACUUGUGCUUUAGUCCAUUUGGCUAUCCCUUUCACCCUGGCAUUUUAUCAACCAGAGGAAGAAAAAAAAAUAAUAAGACAUCGCAAAACAAGAGAAGCCCCUUAUAGGUCUUUCAACUCUCACAUCUAUUUAGAUGCAGUUGGAGCCCCGCAAGGAAUACCAGAUCAAUUUACAGCUUGAAAUCAAAUAGUUGCAAGAUUUAAGUCAAUAUUUUGGUAGAUGACAGUCAAUAAAAAUGUAGAUUAGAUAAACUACAUCUAUUACAACCAACAGCAAUGAGCUUUUCGUAAGUUAAAAAGAAAAACUCAUGUCGGCCUCAGCCCUGAGGCUACCUAAGACAAAACUCUUUACACUCUAUGUGUCAGAAAGAGAAAAAAUGGCAGUUGGUGUUUUAACCCAGAAUGUAGGGCCCUGGCCAAGGCCAGUGGCCUAUCUCUCAAAACAACUAGAAGGGGUUUCCAAAGACUGGCCCCCAUGUCCAAGGGCCCUGGUAGCAACAGACCUGUUAGCACAAGAAGCAGAUAAGCUAACUCUUGGGCAAAACCUAAACAUAAAGUGCCCCCAUGCUGUGGUGAUUUUAAUAAAUACCAAAGGAUACCAUUAGCCAAUGAAUGCUAGACUAAGUAGAUACCAAAUCUUGCUCUGUGAAAAUCCCCACAUAACCAUUAAAGUUUGCAACACCCUAAGCCCACCACCUUACACCUAGUAUCAGAGAGCCCAGUUAAACAUAAACUGUGUAGAGGUGUUAGACUCUGUUUAUUCUACUAGGCCCAACCACCAAGACCACCCUUAAACAUCAGUAGACCGGGAGCUGUACGUGGAUGGGAGCAGCUUCAUCAAACCCUGCAAAGUGACUCUGAAGAAGACAAGCCCUGCUCCAGUCACACCCAGAAGCUGACUGGUCCACGCACGGCCGAAGCACCAGAAAACUCAUUGCGGGACUCAUUUUCCUUAAAAUUUGGACUUGUUCAGUAAGGACUUCAACUGACCUUCCUCAGACUGAGAACUGUUCCCAGUAUAUACAUCAAGUCACUGAGGUAGGACCAAAGAUUGCUACAGUCCUAUUAUUUUAUGGUUAUUAUAAGUGUACCAGGACUCUAAAAGAAACUUGUUUGUAUAAUGCUAUUCUAUCCAAGGUAUGUAGCCCAGGAAAUAUCCAACCGGAUGUGUGUUAUGACCCAUUUUAAGCCUCCCAUUAUCACAGUUUUUAAAAUAAAAUUAAGGACUGGUCCUUUUCUAGGUGACACAAGUAAGGUAAUAGCUAGAACAGAAGAAAGAGGGGUCCCCAAAAAUGCAACCUUAAAAUUUGACCUUGUGCCACUAUUGAUAGUAAGCAGCAUGGAAUAAGAUGCCGUUCUCUAAAUUAAAAAAAAAAAUGUUACACAGUUAAAAAAAAAAAAGCAUAUCUGUCAAAAAUCAUAUUUAUUUGAGAUGUGUUAAUACUGGUGUUGUGUCAUUUAGGCUACUUGAAAAGAGGAUAAAAAAAGAUCCUGUUUGGCUCUGCAAAGGAAAAGGCAGCCCCUCCCGCAUGAGUGGGAGCUGCAGCCCUUUAAAAUUAGUAAUCACAAACCCCUCAGACCCAAAAUAAAACAAAGAAAAAUAUGUAUCAUUAGGCAUUGAUGGAAAAGGAGUAGAUCCUAGUGUAAACACCCUAAUGAAAGGGGAGGUUCAAAUAUGCUCUCCAGAACCAGUAUUUCAGACUUUCUGUAAUAAACUAAAUAUGCCAGUACCAGAGACUCCAGGAAAACCAGAAAUUUGUUUUUGUAAUUAGCCGAGCAUGUAGCCCAGUCUCUGUCACUUCAUGUUAUGUUUGUGGAAAAACCGUAAUGAAGAUCAAUGGCCAUGGGAAGCCCAAUAAUUAGUUCCCACAGACCCAGUUCCUGAUGAAUUCCCAGCCCAAAAGAACCACCCUGACAAAUUUCGGGUUCUAAAAGCCUCAAUUAUUGGACAUUAUUGCAUAGCUAGAGAAGGAAAAGGAUUCACUCAACCUGUAAGGCGGCUUAGUUGUCUUAGGCAAAAGCUGUAUAAUGGUACCACAAAAACAGUUACAUGGUGGAGUUCCAAUUACACAGAAAGAAAUCACUUCAGUAAAUUUCCAAAGUUGCAGACUGUUUGGGCCCACCCAGAAUUCCACCAGGACUGGACGGCCCCACUGAGUUAUACUGGAUAUGUGGACACAGAGCUUAUGCUAAGCUGCCUGAUCAGUGGACAGGUAGCUGUACAAUUGUCACCAUUAAGCCAUCUUUCUUCUUACUGCCCAUAAAAACAGGUAAACUUCUGGGCUUCCAAGUCUAUGCUUCCCAUGAAAAACGAAGCAUAGCCAUAGGUGAUUAGAAAAAUAAUGAAUGGCCCCCUGAAAGAAUCAUACAAUACUAUAGACCCACCACUUAGGCACAAGAUAGCCCAUGAGGAUAUCAAACCCCCAUCUACAUGCUUAACUGAAUCAUACGGUUACAAGCUGUUUUAAAAAUCAUCACUAAUAAAACCGGUCAAGCCUUGACUAUUCUGGCCCAGCAAGAAACUCUAAUGAGAAAUGCUAUCUAUCAAAAUAGACUAGCUCUUGACUACUUGCUAGCAGCUGAAGAAGGAGUUUGUGAAAAAUUUAACCUUACUAAUUGUUGUCUACACAUAGAUGAUGAGGGGAAGUAGUUGAAAAUAUAGUUAAAGAUAUAACAAAACUGGCACAUGUACCCGGGCAAGUGUGGCACAGACUCAAUCCUGGAGCCAUGUUUGGAAAUUGGUUCCCAGCAAUAGGGAGGAUUUAAAACUCUUAUAAUAAAAGUAAUAAUAGUAAUAGGAACCUGCUUACUGCUCCCUUGUCUGAUACCUGUAUUUCUUCAAAUGAUAAAAAAACUUCGUCACUACCUUAGUUCACCAAAAUGCUUCAGCACAAGCAUACUAUAUAAAUCACUAUGAAUCUAUUGCAUAAGAAGGCAUAAGUAGCAAAAAUAAGAGUGAGAACUCCCACUAAUAAAAAGUGAGAAUCUCAAAGGGGGGAAAUGAGGGAAGAGAGAGACCCUCUCAUAUUGUUUUAUAUUGUUGUAUACUCAGUACCUGUUUUAAGAAAAAACAACAAGGAAGUAAAACCAAAGAUAGGCAGCCCGGCGCCAGGCCUGAAACCAGGCCUGGGCCUGCCUGGUCUAAACCCAGUAGUUAAAAAUCAACUCGUAACUUAGAAACCAAUGUCAUUCAUAGAUUCCAGACAUUGUAUAGAAGAACAUUGUGAAACUCCCGGCCCUGUUCUGUUUCUCUCUGACCACUGGUGCAUGCAGCCCCUGUCACGUACCCCUUGCUUGCUCAAAUCAAUCACGACCCUUUCAUGUGAAAUCUUUAGUGUUGUGAGCCCUUAAAAGGGACAGAAAUUGUGCACCCAGGGAGCUCAGAUUUUAAGGCAGUAGCUUGCCGAUGCUCCCGGCUGAAUAAAGCCCUUCCUUCUACAA